AUUUAAGUAGCUUAAAUUUAAAGCUUAAUAUUGAAGAUAUUAUAAUGAGUAAUUACUCCUUAAAUA
rnacentral:tRNA from 1 species